rnacentral:rRNA from 1 species
UACGUAGGGUGCAAGCGUUAUCCGGAAUUAUUGGGCGUAAAGCGUCCGCAGGUGGCACUUCAAGUCUGUCGUCAAAGACUGGGGCUUAACCCCGGAAAGGCGGUGGAAACUGAAGCGCUAGAGUGCGGUAGGGGUAGAGGGAAUUCCCGGUGUAGCGGUGAAAUGCGUAGAGAUCGGGAAGAACAUCGGUGGCGAAAGCGCUCUACUGGACCGCAACUGACACUCAGGGACGAAAGCUAGGGGAGCGAAUGGG